AACAGGAUUAGAUACCCUGGUAGUCCACGCCGUAAACGUUGGGAACUAGAUGUGGGGUCCAUUCCACGGAUUCCGUGUCGCAGCUAACGCAUUAAGUUCCCCGCCUGGGGAGUACGGCCGCAAGGCUAAAACUCAAAGGAAUUGACGGGGGCCCGCACAAGCGGCGGAGCAUGCGGAUUAAUUCGAUGCAACGCGAAGAACCUUACCAAGGCUUGACAUAUACCUGCAAAGGCUGGAAACAGUCUCCUCGCAAGACAGGUAUACAGGUGGUGCAUGGUUGUCGUCAGCUCGUGUCGUGAGAUGUUGGGUUAAGUCCCGCAACGAGCGCAACCCUCGUUCUAUGUUGCCAGCGCGUUAUGGCGGGAACUCAUAGGAGACUGCCGGGGUCAACUCGGAGGAAGGUGGGGAUGACGUCAAAUCAUCAUGCCCCUUAUGUCUUGGGCUUCGCGCAUGCUACAAUGGCCGGUACAAAGGGCUGCAAUACCGUAAGGUGGAGCGAAUCCCAAAAAGCCGGUCUCAGUUCGGAUUGAGGUCUGCAACUCGACCUCAUGAAGUCGGAGUCGCUAGUAAUCGCAGAUCAGCAACGCUGCGGUGAAUACGUUCCCGGGCCUUGUACACACCGCCCGUCAAGUCAUGAAAGUCGGUAACACCCGAAGCCGGUGGCCCAACCCUUGUGGAGGGAGCCGUCGAAGGUGGGAUCGGUAAUUAGGACUAAGUCGUAACAAGGUAGCC
rnacentral:rRNA from 1 species